UAGGGAAUCUUCGGCAAUGGACGAAAGUCUGACCGAGCAACGCCGCGUGAGUGAAGAAGGUUUUCGGAACGUAAAACUCUGUUGUUAGAGAAGAACAAUGACGUUAGUAACUGAACGUCCCCUGACGGUAUCUAACCAGAAAGCCACGGCUAACUACGUGCUAGCAGCCGCGGUAAUACGUAGGUGGCAAGCGUUGUCCGGAUUUAUUGGGCGUAAAGCGAGCGCAGGCGGUUUCUUAAGUCUGAUGUGAAAGCCCCCGGCUCAACCGGGGAGGGUCAUUGGAAACUGGGAGACUUGAGUGCAGACGAGGAGAGUGGAAUUCCAUGUGUGGCGGUGAAAUGCGUAGAUAUAUGGAGGAACACCAGUGGAGAAGGCGGCUCUCUGGUCUGUAACUGACGCUGAGGCUCGAAGGCGUGGGGGGCAAACAGG
rnacentral:rRNA from 1 species